UCGUCCAGGCAGAUGUCGUUAUUCACAGCAGGGUUGGGGUACUUGGGGUACCGCGCUAGGAAUUUGUGGCAUAGCAACCCCAAGCUCUUCUCCUUCCGACUCGGCUGGGAUUUCUCAAAUUCGUCUCCUGAUAAGUGUUCCUGCAGAGGGAAAGGAGGUCAACAGCCUUCCAACAGCUCCGGGCUCCACACUGACCGUCCCUUCAUCCACAAGCCCCCAAACGCCACCCAGCCUCCCUGUAAACCUACGUGCAAACAGUCUCUAGCUUCAGGGCUCCUCCCCACGGGCCCCGGCGGGGCGGGAGGCGGGAAACGGCCGCCUUCACCCUGGCCUUCCCGGGAUCCCACAACCCCGCCGCAGCAGUCUGCUCCCCGCUCACCUGUCAAUCCUCCUUCAGAGCUGACGGUCCGGGGUGGCCCCGAAUCCUGGCUGCGCGUCUCAGGGAGCCAGCGCGUCUCAGGGAGACUCGCUUAGCCCCGCCGCGCAGAGGGAUGUGAACCUGUUUUGUACAAAUUGGUGGCUUGUUUGGGUUCUUCAGAAUUGUGGCUUCUGAUUCACUGGAGGUGGCUGUGCCCCUACCCCGCAACCCCCUGAAGUGGCUGGCAUUGGUGCAAAUGAGGCUGUUGAACCUGAUCGUGUUCUCUCUGGCCUUGGACCUGAGUGCUGCAGAGAGAGAGAGAGAGGGAGACUCUGAUGGCUCUGAAGAUCAUGGCCCUUCCCAUAUGAGGUUCUAGGCAGUAUUCCUGAGCCGGUCUCUUGCUCACUCCCCAGCCCUUUUGAAUACCCCUUUUCGGUAUGAAUUUGAUGAUCUAAUUUGACUAUCUCUCAAAUGCUCAGGUGUGUUACAGUUUUACUCUUCACUGUAUCAGUUUGUCACACGGUUAAGAGAGCAGGAUCUACCCUUCACUCGGGGUCAUUCUCUGCAUCCUAGCUGAUGUUCAGUGAAAGCUCCAAGGGUUUGUCAAUGUGGAAACUGGUUGGCAGUCAAUCGAUGGUCUCGCAGCCACAGUUAGAGAUGAGCUGCAUCUGGGUCUGCCCAUGUGCUUUUAGAAUAGGCUGAACUUUAUAACACAUUCAAUCUUUGGAAUAAACUGCCACCGUUUUAUUGUUAGUUGAACUAUAUACAAGGUUGCUGGGGUAGGAUAUUUCAGGGGCAGAGUGCUUGCCUAGCAUGCAUGAGACUGUAGGUGGACUCCAUCCCCAGGACCAAAAUAAUAAUUUUAUUCAUAGAGGAAGAUGUUUGCCUGGGUUCAAUGCCCAACAACUCCAGCUUUGGAGGAUCCAAAUGCUUCUGUCUUCUGAGGUCACUAGCAUGGACAUAGCCCCUACCACACAUGUACACACAAUUAAAAAACAAAGCAUAGGAUUUGGAGUAAAACAGACUUUGCUUUUAAAGCCCCAUAAUAAUAUUGCAAUGCUGUAGACAUGAACACUUUCUCAACAACCCCCAUACACAUAUACUGAAAGAGAAAUUAAAAUAUAACCCUGAGUGGGCCUUACAAGGAGAAGAUGAGUUAGUGCAUGAAAAACAGCAGUGUUUAGCAUGUGCUAAAUAAAGAAAGCUGUUAUAUAUUGCCAUGUGUAAUCUAAUCCAAAACAAUCCAUACAUGUGUGUAUCUGGAUUUGCCUUUAAAAAAAAAAAUGUUCUAAUCACCACAGCGA
rnacentral:lncRNA from 1 species